CCUGCCCAGUGAUUUUUCAACGGCCGCGGUAUCCUGACCGUGCAAAGGUAGCAUAAUCAUUUGCCUUUUAAUUGAAGGCUAGUAUGAAAGGACAAACAAGAAUAAAUCUGUCUCACUCGAACUUAAUAUAAACUGAUAAUAAGGUGCAGAAGCCUUAAUCGCAAUAAAAGACAAGAAGACCCUACAGAGCUUUAUUAAUAACAGGCAUAAAACCUAUCUAUUAAUUUGGUUGGGGCAACCUAAAGACAUAAACACCUCUUUUAUUAUAUCUAUACACACACCCAAUAAUGUUAAUGAAUUUAAGCUACCUUAGGGAUAACAGGCUAAUCCUGCUAGAGAGACCACAUUGACAGCAGGGGUUGGCACCUCGAUGUUGGCUUAGUGUAACUAUCUGGCGCAGCCGCCAGAUAAAGUUGGUUUGUUCAACCAUUAAAUCACUACGUGAUCUGAG
rnacentral:rRNA from 1 species